rnacentral:rRNA from 1 species
UACGUAGGGGGCAAGCGUUGUCCGGAAUCAUUGGGCGUAAAGAGUGCGUAGGCGGCCAGGUAAGUCCGCUGUGAAAGUCCAGGGCUCAACCCUGGGAUGCCGGUGGAUACUGUCGGGCUCGAGUCCGGAAGAGGAGUGUGGAAUUCCUGGUGUAGCGGUGAAAUGCGCAGAUAUCAGGAAGAACACCCGUGGCGAAGGCGGCUCUCUGGGACGGUACUGACGCUGAGGAGCGAAAGCGUGGGGAGCGAACAGG